UGCGCAGGCGGCCGAGUGUGUGAGGCGUGAAAGCCCGGGGCUUAACCCCGGAAUUGCACCUCAAACUACACGGCUAGAGCAUUGGAGAGGGUAGCAGAAUUCACGGUGUAGCAGUGAAAUGCGUAGAUAUCGAGAGGAACACCAGUGGCGAAGGCGAGUCCCUGGACAACUCCUGACACUGAGGCACGAAAGCUAGGGGAGCAAACAG
rnacentral:rRNA from 1 species